AAGUAAGUGAGUGAGUGUGGAGUGGAGUGGAGUGGAGUGGAGGGCGCGAAUGGAUAUGUGUGUGUAGGGGGUGGGUCGGGAAGCAAAGGACACUGGAGUGAGUGGCGCGAGAUCCCCUCGAGAAAGUCUGAAUCCGGUUUGGACUGCUCACUAAGACCAAUGAUAGUUUGUAGUUAACUGAUGGAUAUGUUACGGAUGAGGCACCGGAAGUGUAUGACCUACUCAGCUGUGGAAUUGUACUUUUAUUUUAGCAUAUGUUGACAAAAUCAAGAAGAGCACAAGUCCUUAUUGCUGAUUUUUAGAGUGACAUUGCUUUUUUUUUUAAGGAAAUGGUGUAAAGACUUUUGUAAUUUUUUUCAACCAAGUAAGCACUGUUCACAGUUGGCAAGUACUUUGUGGGCAGUGUUCAUCUGACACUUUUAAAAUUUAUCGCCUACUGAGCAUAUAACAAGCUAACUUCUAUUUGCGUGUUUUCCAUCUCCGACAACAGAGAAAAUGAGUGCCGAUGGAUAUCAAUAUAGAGCUUUAUAUGAGUACAAAAAGGAGCGAGAAGAGGAUAUUGAUCUACAUUGUGGUGAUAUACUGAUUGUCACUAAAAAUACUCUGUUAGCCCUGGGUUUCAGCGAGGGAGAUGAGGCAAGACCAGAUGAGAUUGGCUGGCUUACUGGCUUAAACGAAACAACGCAGGAAAGGGGAGAUUUCCCUGGAACAUAUGUAGAGUUUCACGGUUUCCGGAAAAUUUCACCACCGACACCCAAGCCGCGACCACCUAGACCACUACCUGUGGCUCCAAAUCCAUCAAGACCAGAAGACUGUGACCAGCAAGGGAAGAAAAUCUGCCAUCCUUACCUGGUCUGACUAAAUGUGACUACAGAUCCACACUUUUAACUUCCCGCUGAAAUGACUGAGAGCCUAUCAGUUCAAGAGCACUUGGGAAUGGACAACAAAUGCCUGCCUUGUCACCACAAGUGUGAUGGACAGAUGCACAUUGUUAUCAAUCCCUUUUUACGUUGUACUGUUUCUGUCUGACCUAUAUCAAAUUCAUUUUUAUUAAUGUGCCUUUUAUUAGCUCAUAGCUCCCUACAGUGUGGAAACAGGUCAUUCAAGCCUGUGCCAAGCCUCCACCUCAGUGGAUGCUAUGGGGCAAUUUAGCACGGCCAAUCCACCUAACCUGCACAUCUUUGGACUGUGGGAGGAAACCAGAGCACCCGUAGGAAACCCACGCAGACAUGGAGAAAAUGUUCACAACGUUGCUGCAUUGCUUCAGUGCUUGUAUGAUUGACUUCCAGGCUUGUUCCUACCAGUCCUAUUAGAUUAAAAGACUUUCAAUUUUUUAAAACCCUGUAGUAGAGAACACUCAGUUUAAACCAUUGAACAAUUUUUAAAGCUAGAUCUGAAUGCAGGGGGGGGAUAAAAAUUCACUUUGUUUCCUUCAAGUUAUGGAUUCUACUGAAAUCUUAAAAUGCAGUGUGUUCUUGGGGACUGGGAAGCAAAUGAUACUUCCUUUCCCAAUUUGAUAAUCCUCUAAUUAAUACACUCCCAUAAUUUUCUCCAUAAAUAACAAGUUCUUGUAUAAAAGUAACUAAGAGCUUUUAUGCACAAUGCUUUGAGAAGCAUGACCAGGCUUGGCUUAAAUGUUUCACAUGACAAUUUUUUUUCAUUGUGAAUGAUUUUAAGCAACAUGCCUAUUUUUUUGUUUCAUGUAUCCAGUGAGACUGGCAAGAUGUCAAAUCUUAUUUCCACACUUAUGUUUAACAGUUUAUUCCAUGGAAAUUACGUUUUCUAUUGUUGCUAAUGUACUGCUUUUCAUAAAAGAAAAACUGAUAGUUACUGUGGUUAACCACUCAAGAUUAUAAUAUCAUGUUUCACUGGUCAAACAAUCUCUGAAAGAUAGAAUCGUGUAAGUAAGCUUGGCCACUUACUUUACUUGUGCGGAAAAGCUGCUGUUUUAAUUUGAGUUGUUAUUGUCACAUGUAUCUAGAUACAGUGAAAAGUUUUUUGUUUUGUGUGCUGUGCAGACAGAUCAUACCAUAUAAAGUGCAUUGGGUAAUAGAACAGUGUGAAGAAUACAAUGUUAUGGCUGCACAGAAGGUGCACACAGUGAGAUCAACAUCGGCCCCAAACUACAGUUAACUUUAUACUGGAUGCUUCAACAAAAUAACAUGGAUGAGAUUAAGAAAUUAAAUGGCCCUUUUUCAUUUUUUUACACUCUUAAAUUGAGUUGUUAACCUGUGAACUAGAUUGUUUCACAUUAUACCUAGCAUAGAUUUGCUGAUGGGUGCCUACCAUGUGAGGCAUUUAUUGGACUUGAUAAAAUCUGAGUUGUACUGUUGGUUAUACUGCAUAAUUGUAAGUUGAGAAAAUGUACUGUUCUUUUUUUUGAGCUGUAUGAAAUGAUACCAACUUAAGUGGUGUACCCUUAAAGAGAUUUCAGUAAAAACCUAUAUUUUGUUCUUGUAGUUAUCAACUUAUGUACUGUUCAGAUUUCAUUCCUGCCAUAACUUUGAUCUUUCAGUUUGCAAAUGAAAAUAAUGAAGUUGUUUCCUGUGUUUAAAAUGUGCUAUCUUGAGAUAUCAACAUGAAGGGUAGGAUGAUUGCCAUGUACCUAUAUUGCAGCAAUUAUAGAAACACUUUUAAUUUGGCAGUAACAUUUAUACUGCACACUGCCAAGCAAUGACCACUUCCAACAAGAGAGAAUCUAGCCUGAUGUUCAGUGGCAUUACUUUCUCAUAAUUCCCCACUGCUAUUGUUCAGAGUGCACUCUGCUAGCUAUAUAAAUACUGUGCCAUGAUGUUUUCCUUAAGCAACAAUGCCGCUCCCCCUCCCCUCUUGCCUCCCCUUCUGUCCUUCCUAUACCAUCUAUAUCCCGGAACGUGGACCUGUCAGUCCUGUUCCUGUGUCGGUCAUCUUUCUGUAAGAGCUAUGAUACCCUAGUCCCAUGCCCGGAGUUCAUUUGCCUUAUCUGUCAGGCCUUUUGCAUUAAAUAAAUGCAUUUUAAUUCAUCAGUCUUCCCGCCUCCUUCUCUGCCGUGCUCUUGUCUGCUGUGUCUAUUUAACUUGUUCUCGCUAGCUUCUAUAUCGGCUUCAACCUUCUGUCUUGCCUCCCUACUGCUUAGGGUCAUGUCCCCCAGUCAGACUAGUCUAAACCUUCCCAAGUAGCUCCAGAAAAUCUUCCCUGCCAGGAUGUUUGUCCCCCUCCAGCUCAACUGAGCUUCUUGCACGGGUCACUUCUCCUCCAGAAAAGAUCCCAAUGACCCAAAAAUCUGAAUUCUGCUCCCUGCAUCAUCUCCUCAAAUAUGUAUUCGUUUGACCUGUUCUAUUCCUGUUUUCACUGGCAUGUGGCACUUGGAGUAAUCCAGAGAUUACUAGCCUUGACCCUGCUUUUUAACCUCCCGCCUACCUCCCUUUAGUCACUCUGUAGGACUUCAUUCUGUUUGCCAGAAAUGCUAACUUGCUUUAUGCAGUUUUAAAUUAUGCAGUAGCUUCCCCUAAUUUCAAUGAAAAUGUGAGUAACUAGUGUUGUGGUGAUCUUGCUAAUGGUGAGUCUGAUGACAUUGGAGAGACUGUUAUCUAUUAUUGCCUGCUGUAGAAACACACACAGACUGCCUUAAAUUAACAUAAAUAAUGAAUUGAUGUGAAUUCGUAAAUUGUUUCUGGGAUGUGGGCUUCAGUGCAAGGCCAGUAUUGCAGUUGUUAAUUGCUGUGAGAACAUGAUGAACCACCUUUUUUAAACUGCAUGUAUUCCUAAAGUUCUAUAAAGGGAGUUCCAGGAUUUUGACUUGCGACAAUGAAGAAAUAGUGCUAUAAUUUCAAGUUGGGUUGGUCACCCUUCGAGUGAUAGUGUCCCUCUAAGUUUGAAAAGUGCUUGUAAAUCAGUGCUUUGCAUACUAUAUAUUACAGGAUUUCCCUAUUGUACAUAUUUUGGAUUUUGCAAAAGUGCUUUGCACUUUUAAACGGAAACAAGUUACAAAAUUUAACAUUGUUAACCUUAUGUAUUUAUUAAGCUGACUGUGUAUUACUGCUGUAAUUGGAUAUAGAUCUUUGUAGCUCUCCCCUUUUUAGGUUGAAUAAAGAAUUCUGAUUUAUCACAGUUAA